rnacentral:rRNA from 1 species
CCAGGUUGAUUCUGCCUGACGUAGACGCUAUUCCCUAAGAUUAACCCAUGCAUGUUUUUGACAUUUGAAAAAUGGACUGCUCAGUAAUACUCACUUUAUUUUAUGUAAAUUUUUGAUUAAUUAACUACGUUAAAGUGUAGAUAAGAUGUUUACAGUAAGAGUGAGACCUAUCAGCUAGUUGUUAAGGUAAUGGCUUAACAAGGCUGUGACGGGUAACGGUAUUGCUUUGUAAUAUUCCGGAGAAGGAGCCUGAGAGACGGCUACUAAGUCUAAGGAUUGCAGCAGGGGCGAAACUUGACCUAUGGAUUUUAUCUGAGGCAGUUAUGGGAAGUAAUAUUAUAUUGUUUCAUAUUUUAAAAGUAUAUGAGGUGAUUAAUUGGAGGGCAAAUCAAGUGCCAGCAGCCGCGGUAAUACUUGUUCCAAGAGUGUGUAUGAUGAUUGAUGCAGUUAAAAAGUCCGUAGUUUAUUUUUUUAAGAAGCAAUAUGAGGUGUACUGUAUAGUUGGGAGAAAGAUGAAAUGUGACGACCCUGACUGGACGAACA